AGAAUUUAUUUCGAGAAUAAUUAACGAAAGAUAUAAUACGAGUCGUGCCUUUAGCCCUUACACAGUUCAAAAUUCAUAACACACUGAAAAGAAAUUUUAUUUUCAUUUUAUUCGUCAUUAAUAGAUAGCACGAACAGUGGCACUUUGCAUUCUGUUUUAUGGAAUUAGUCGGCAUGGCUUUUGAUAUCGAGAUUUAUUAAUAUAAUGGGUGGUUGGUUGAUUAAAUACUUUUCUGAUCCGAAAUACAGUCGGGAACAAAACUAAGUGGAUUAGUGGAGAAAAUGUAAAAAUUCAUUUCAAUCAUUUGCUGAACUAUCUGCAUAUUAUUAGAAGGAAAUAUAAUAAAUAAAACUCAAGUAUAUGAGGCUGAUACUAAUUUGAUUAUACUUUCUUCACAUCUAUUUCCAUUAACUAUAGCAGCUUAUUUUUAUCCCCGAUUGUACUUGUAAAUUGUAAAUAUUUUAUAAUUUGUAUAUAAAUUCCCACAUUUACUUCAAAUUUUGUACGAGAUCGAUAUAAUACCACAAUGGAAUCGCGACAGUCAAGUUUCAUUUCAUAUUUCAUUUUUCAUCGCGUUUCAUUUUUAAAACCUGUCUAUGCAUGUUAAAAUACAUUCGCGAGUCUGUGUGUUUUCGACGUGAAUCAAAUAUAUCUGUCAGCACAGAUUCAAGUACUGUACCGUAUGAUUUCGCUUUCUCAACAACCUUGUCCAUCAUCCCGUUGGAAACGUACCAUCUUGAACAGAGCAAAUACGAGUGAUAUGGAUCGAUAAGUAAAUUUGCAUAAAUCUCAAAGCGCAAGUUGAGAAUUCGAAUAAUCGAACGAUUAGGAGUUUACUUACCGGGCGCUCUCGGGAAGAAUCCACGGUGUGAUAGCGACAGAUAACAGCGGUAUGGCAGUAACUAAUAGAACAUGGAAGAUUUAUCGAGUGAAACCCGUUAUUAUUAAUAUGGAGCAAUUGAUGACGAGCCGAAUGAACGAUACCAUCAACAUAAUUGUAGGAUAAUUUUAUCGAACGCCAGUCCAGUGAGAAACCUACAGACGGCGAAUGACCAAAAACUAUUUGCGCUGGCAGUGAAAAUGGAGGCAAAAAGGGCGAUACCAUUGCAGAACAUUAAAGCUGGGAUACGACCCUUGUGAUCGGCGAUCCAACCGAC